rnacentral:pre_miRNA from 1 species
AUGGGAAGCACCUGGAAUCUUGUUAAAAUGCAGCUUUUGAUUUAAUGGAUCUGGAGUGGGGCUUGAGAUGCUGCAUUUCUAACCAGUUCCCAGGUGAUGCCUAU